GCGGCGCCGACGAUGACAACCUUUCUAUCGACGCAAGGGCAGCAGGAGCUCAUGACGCUGUUGAUGCCACCACCAUGCAUGGGGUUGAUGCAAGGUGGGACAAUGCGAUCACUAAUGGGGAGAACAUAAAACUUCAAUUGAGGGCACUGUGAUUCUCUAGCUACAUGUAUCAUGGUCACCAACCACACAUGUAAAAACCAUGUCUCCCUACUGUAAUUUGAUGAUUUAUUUACAUGUGGCACAGAAUAGUUCAGAGUUCACUCCGAGAAAGAAUUGCUUUGCAUGUACAUUUGCUAAAAGACGGAUGUGCUGAACUUUCGACGGUUCCGAUUGGUCGCUGACAUAACCUUUCCUCUUUUCAUUGAUAGGUCCAAAAGAGAUC